rnacentral:rRNA from 1 species
UCGACGAACCAUCCUGUUGAUUGAAGCUUGCUUCUUGAUUCAGAUUUUGGUGAGUGGCGGACGGGUGAGUAACACGUGGGUAACCUGCCCAAAAGUGGGGGAUAACAUUUGGAAACAAGUGCUAAUACCGCAUAACAACUGCUUUCACAUGAUCGCAGCUUGAAAGAUGGCUCUGCUAUCGCUUUUGGAUGGACCCGCGGCGUAUUAGCUAGUUGGUGAGGUAAUAGCUCACCAAGGCAAUGAUACGUAGCCGACCUGAGAGGGUAAUCGGCCACAUUGGGACUGAGACACGGCCCAAACUCCUACGGGAGGCAGCAGUAGGGAAUCUUCCACAAUGGGCGAAAGCCUGAUGGAGCAAUGCCGCGUGAGUGAAGAAGGUUUUCGGAUCGUAAAACUCUGUUGUUGAAGAAGAACAUGCGUGAGAGUAACUGUUCACGUACUGACGGUAUUCAACCAGAAAGCCACGGCUAACUACGUGCCAGCAGCCGCGGUAAUACGUAGGUGGCAAGCGUUGUCCGGAUUUAUUGGGCGUAAAGAGAAUGUAGGCGGUUUAUUAAGUUUGAAGUGAAAGCCCUCGGCUCAACCGAGGAAGUGCUUCGA